rnacentral:rRNA from 1 species
GGUUAAGCGACUAAGCGUACACGGUGGAUGCCCUGGCAGUCAGAGGCGAUGAAGGGCGUGCUAAUCUGCGAUAAGCGCCGGUAAGGUGAUAUGAACCGUUAUAACCGGCGAUACCCGAAUGGGGAAACCCAGUGUGAUUCGUCACACUAUCAUUAACUGAAUCCAUAGGUUAAUGAGGCGAACCGGGGGAACUGAAACAUCUAAGUACCCCGAGGAAAAGAAAUCAACCGAGAUUCCCCCAGUAGCGGCGAGCGAACGGGGAGGAGCCCAGAGCCUGAAUCAGCAUGUGUGUUAGUGGAAGCGUCUGGAAAGGUGCGCGAUACAGGGUGACAGCCCCGUACACAAAAGCGCAUGUGCUGUGAGCUCGAUGAGUAGGGCGGGACACGUGGUAUCCUGUCUGAAUAUGGGGGGACCAUCCUCCAAGGCUAAAUACUCCUGACUGACCGAUAGUGAACCAGUACCGUGAGGGAAAGGCGAAAAGAACCCCGGCGAGGGGAGUGAAAAAGAACCUGAAACCGUGUACGUACAAGCAGUGGGAGCACAGGUUUACCUGUGUGACUGCGUACCUUUUGUAUAAUGGGUCAGCGACUUAUAUUCUGUAGCAAGGUUAACCGUAUAGGGGAGCCGGAGGGAAACCGAGUCUUAAUUGGGCGUUAAGUUGCAGGGUAUAGACCCGAAACCCGGUGAUCUAGCCAUGGGCAGGUUGAAGGUUGGGUAACACUAACUGGAGGACCGAACCGACUAAUGUUGAAAAAUUAGCGGAUGACCUGUGGCUGGGGGUGAAAGGCCAAUCAAACCGGGAGAUAGCUGGUUCUCCCCGAAAGCUAUUUAGGUAGCGCCUCGUGAAUUCAUCUCCGGGGGUAGAGCACUGUUUCGGCUAGGGGGCCAUCCCGGCUUACCAACCCGAUGCAAACUGCGAAUACCGGAGAAUGUUAUCACGGGAGACACACGGCGGGUGCUAACGUCCGUCGUGAAGAGGGAAACAACCCAGACCGCCAGCUAAGGUCCCAAAGUCAUGGUUAAGUGGGAAACGAUGUGGGAAGGCCCAGACAGCCAGGAUGUUGGCUUAGAAGCAGCCAUCAUUUAAAGAAAGCGUAAUAGCUCACUGGUCGAGUCGGCCUGCGCGGAAGAUGUAACGGGGCUAAACCAUGCACCGAAGCUGCGGCAGCGAACGUAUCACCCAAGACAACUUUACGGAGUUGACGAUUGACGGAGCGAAGCGACGUCAAAGCGUUCAUUAAAGUCGAGUUGGCUUAGGGAUACGUUCGUUGGGUAGGGGAGCGUUCUGUAAGCCUGUGAAGGUGUGUCGUGAGGCAUGCUGGAGGUAUCAGAAGUGCGAAUGCUGACAUAAGUAACGAUAAAGCGGGUGAAAAGCCCGCUCGCCGGAAGACCAAGGGUUCCUGUCCAACGUUAAUCGGGGCAGGGUGAGUCGACCCCUAAGGCGAGGCCGAAAGGCGUAGUCGAUGGGAAACGGGUUAAUAUUCCCGUACUUGGUGUUACUGCGAAGGGGGGACGGAGAAGGCUAUGUUGGCCGGGCGACGGUUGUCCCGGUUUAAGCGUGUAGGUGUGUGUUCCAGGUAAAUCCGGUUCACUUUAACACUGAGGCGUGACGACGAGGCACUACGGUGCUGAAGCAACAAAUGCCCUGCUUCCAGGAAAAGCCUCUAAGCAUCAGGUAACACGAAAUCGUACCCCAAACCGACACAGGUGGUCAGGUAGAGAAUACCAAGGCGCUUGAGAGAACUCGGGUGAAGGAACUAGGCAAAAUGGUGCCGUAACUUCGGGAGAAGGCACGCUGACACGUAGGUGAAGUGAUUUACUCAUGGAGCUGAAGUCAGUCGAAGAUACCAGCUGGCUGCAACUGUUUAUUAAAAACACAGCACUGUGCAAACACGAAAGUGGACGUAUACGGUGUGACGCCUGCCCGGUGCCGGAAGGUUAAUUGAUGGGGUCAGCGCAAGCGAAGCUCCUGAUCGAAGCCCCGGUAAACGGCGGCCGUAACUAUAACGGUCCUAAGGUAGCGAAAUUCCUUGUCGGGUAAGUUCCGACCUGCACGAAUGGCGUAAUGAUGGCCAGGCUGUCUCCACCCGAGACUCAGUGAAAUUGAACUCGCUGUGAAGAUGCAGUGUACCCGCGGCAAGACGGAAAGACCCCGUGAACCUUUACUAUAGCUUGACACUGAACAUUGAGCCUUGAUGUGUAGGAUAGGUGGGAGGCUUUGAAGUGUGGACGCCAGUCUGCAUGGAGCCGACCUUGAAAUACCACCCUUUAAUGUUUGAUGUUCUAACGUGGACCCGUAAUCCGGGUUGCGGACAGUGUCUGGUGGGUAGUUUGACUGGGGCGGUCUCCUCCUAAAGAGUAACGGAGGAGCACGAAGGUUGGCUAAUCCUGGUCGGACAUCAGGAGGUUAGUGCAAUGGCAUAAGCCAGCUUGACUGCGAGCGUGACGGCGCGAGCAGGUGCGAAAGCAGGUCAUAGUGAUCCGGUGGUUCUGAAUGGAAGGGCCAUCGCUCAACGGAUAAAAGGUACUCCGGGGAUAACAGGCUGAUACCGCCCAAGAGUUCAUAUCGACGGCGGUGUUUGGCACCUCGAUGUCGGCUCAUCACAUCCUGGGGCUGAAGUAGGUCCCAAGGGUAUGGCUGUUCGCCAUUUAAAGUGGUACGCGAGCUGGGUUUAGAACGUCGUGAGACAGUUCGGUCCCUAUCUGCCGUGGGCGCUGGAGAACUGAGGGGGGCUGCUCCUAGUACGAGAGGACCGGAGUGGACGCAUCACUGGUGUUCGGGUUGUCAUGCCAAUGGCACUGCCCGGUAGCUAAAUGCGGAAGAGAUAAGUGCUGAAAGCAUCUAAGCACGAAACUUGCCCCGAGAUGAGUUCUCCCUGAGACUUAGAGUCUCCUGAAGGAACGUUGAAGACGACGACGUUGAUAGGCCGGGUGUGUAAGCGCAGCGAUGCGUUGAGCUAACCGGUACUAAUGAACCGUGAGGCUUAACCUU